rnacentral:lncRNA from 1 species
UUAUAACUUUCAUAGCCAAUGUAUAACUGUAUUAUACUAUUAUCAUACUAUUUGUUGAUGGAUUAACACUUAAUAUAAUGAAAAAUAAAAGCGUUCACCCUACAGGGCAGCUAGCUAUAAAGCGAUAACUCCGAAUAGAUGUAGGAAUAAUCUUGUGAGAUGUGAGAACUUGAUACAUGCCAGAUAGGUUACGUGGUAGUCCCUGGUAGGUAACUAUUAAGACCGUGAAGUUUAUAAAUCUGAUUGACUUAGUUGAGGUAGUUUUGAACAUUGAAUUCAUCACCAGUUCACCACCAGAUUUCUUCUGUCUAUGAGUCCAGAAAGACACAAAUCGUCAAGUAAAUACUCUCUGGGUUCAUCCUGAAGGAUCAGAAAUCUAUAGUACUCAUCAUAUUUUUUAAAGAAGCUUUACUUCUGAUCAAGCUGGUUAUGGAAGAAGGAUAAAACCCGAUGUCAGAUGGUUAGGUUCUCUUUGCCAAAUCUCAAAGCUAAAGGAGGCCCUUUUAAUUGUUUAUUCACUUGACCACAUGCUAAGUUGGUUAACUCGAUCAUUGAGCUAUGGCUUCUACAUCCCAUUUUUCUUACUAACGCCCGAAUAAUACUCGCAAUCCAUACUACCUCUCUCUCGGUCGAAUCCAUUCCUAAUUCUUCUACUAAAGAGACCACGCAUCUGUCGAGUAUAUUCGUUUUCCUCCGACUCUAUCCUUUACUUCUGUUGUAAUCUGUUCCUGCGUGUUUCUAAAAUUCCCAAACGUUUUUUGGCGCACAUGGCAAUCACAUGCUACUACUCGUUGAUGCGAUAAAACAGCAGCAUUACCGAAACGAUGUUGCCUCCUAUAUCCAUACGUCACUUCCCAUCUGUAACUAACUAUUCUAUCCCUUGUUAUUUGAAUAAUUCUCCUUUUUUUCUUGUAGGAGUAGAUUCUAUACUCCUACAAAAAUGUAGGAGUGCGGUCGUAGGGUGCAGUCGAGGCAGGCAUGAAGGAUUGAAAGUCGUACAUUUAUUUCCUUCACCAGAUUAAUUGAUAGAUUUCCGUAACGCGACGGGGUAGGAGUUCUCAAAUUUCCUUGAGAACUUACUUGGCUUAAAUUUACUUGGCUGUAUGUGAUACGUGCCAAAGUUUGAGCAGGAGUUAAGGUGAGAAUGACGAGUUGGGUUAGGAAAGUAAACCUCAAUUAUCCGUGAACUCAUUCAGCACUGCCUAGAAAGUCGUCACCUUGUGUAUUAAGGAGCGUUCAUCAAUGAGUAUUUCAGGGGCUAAGGGGGUAAAGGUGGAGUAUUCUAUCUGACGAUGAAACAAACACAUAUCCGACACACAGGACAUACCCGAGAUGAGCUGCUUCCAGUGGCCUUUUCUUCUGAGUAUUUUCAAGGGGUCGUGUGUUCCGUGAAGUUGCUGUCCGAUCAUGUGGGACGUUGUUGCAGCCUAUGCUGGUGAAAGAUCUUUAUGCAUUAAGUUAAACUGGCUGUUUCUUGGUGCUGGUGUCGUGUUACCGAAGUUGCAUCAUUAUUUUGUUAAAUUGUCAUUGGGUCUGUUUACCAUUUAUAUGUUAAGAAGGAACAGAAAUAUGGGGAAUUUAUGUUAAACAAACAAUAAACAUGUUUUCGGGAUUGCGAAAGGAACGUAGAGGAUGUUGGGGUGGGGAGGAUUUUAAUUAAAAAAAAAUGUUGAGGUUUGUUGUAAAAAAAUACCGACGUGUUGGGUAAUGAUGAAACUUUAUUAACCUAUAAACCCUUAAUCAUUUUACCUACUUAUGUUUUCCAAACCGCUAUUAACCUAUAAUCAUACAAACAGAUACCUACUCAUCAUUUCCCACAUCCCUACAAUCCCACACAUUACCUACAUAUCAUUCCUCUAACUCCUUUUGCAACACUUAUAAUGUUCAAAAUAAAUUUAAAUCAUGAAAGAAAAAUCUCUUUAUUUUCUAUCUGAAAUGUAAAUUAUUUUAAUAAGCAGAGCGUCCGGUCAGAGCUGGUCCGUUUCAAGACAAUUCUUUUUUUUUGUGCGAAUAUUUAGCGGUAUGGUGACCGCGUAGAACUCCAAAGACAGAAGAACUCCACCGACAAUAGAACACCAAUAUUUUCAAUAAUUUUAAAAAUUUCUUUGUAUGCGACAGUAGAGCUCCAAAGACAUAAGAACUCCUUUUUAAAA